GGAGGAGGGGGAAAAAGUUUCCAUCAGGAAGAAAACCAUAGUAAGCAAACCGAGACAAGAAGUUCACUUAGCUUUUAUUCUAAGCUCCACGCUCCUGCCCUGACUUCCUUGGAUGGUGGGUCUGUAACAUGUAAACGGAAACAAAUCUUUCCUCUACAAGUUGCUUCGGAUUAGUGUUUAGCACAUCAACAGCCAGCAAAGUAAGACACAUAUUUUGUCCAAUAGAAUGCGCCCAGAGUCAUCUGGAGUGACCCACCCAGGGUGGAACAGAACACUGUCCCUGUCCGUCUUUAUUGAGUGGCAUAGACGCCUCAGGAUGUGGCCUCGGGGAGUAUCUGAAUUCUUGCUCAUCUCUUCCCAUUAUGUCACUGGGCCAGUUGAGGAAGAGGUAGAUGGUGCCAUUCUCCCGAGCGAGAGAAGUCACUUUGGCUAGGACGUAGUUCGGUGCAGGAGCAUGGAGGAGCAGAAAGGAGUUAAAAACAUAGAGUCGCGCGUCACUACCGAAGCCUAGAGCGACGCUACCCCCCAAAUCUAGUUCCGCAGCCGAUUUCCGCCUCCGGAGACAAACAGGAAGUUCCGUGAUAGAGUCCCGGCAUCCCUUUUCCGGACUCAGUUUUGUGCUGUGGGUGUGCUUUAGGCUUGGUUCACUUGGACUGCGAUGUGACCACUGCGGAGGAAGAUGCUCCGCUCCCUUCUUCCGGACUCCGUCCACCGCACUCCUGUCCCGGGCGUAUGCGGAUGCUCUGUUUUGGAUCUGUGGCUCUGCGCCUGGCGCCGCCUUGACCUCCCCGGAGCCGGAAGUCCACUUCCGCUCUGCCUGGGCGGCUCCCGACGUGCGGAAUUGAACCCUCGCACCACCUCAUAUCUUUGAACUCUUGAGCAGGUCCCUCUCUUCCAGCCUGAUGUGUGUCAAUGAAUGUCUGAGGGCGGCCAGAGGACCACUGAAAGCUGGGGUGUGGUGGCGCACUCCUAUCAGCCCCGCACUCGAGGGGCAGAGGCAGGAGAAUUGCUACAGUUACAGGCAAGCCUGAACUACAUAGCGAGUUCCAAGCCAACCAAGACUUAGCAAGAGUCUGUUUAAAAACAAAACAAAAUUAUAACUCUGGUUAGCGAGAGGACUGGCUGCUGGGCUCCUAAAAUCGAACUACUGCUAAUACGGACUUCGGGGCUUGCAGUUGUAUUAAGAGCUUAGGUUGAGGACAAUGACAAGGAGGGUGAACGAAACGCGCUCAAAGCAGUGGAACAGGAAAAAAAAAAAGCGUGCUGCCUCUCAUAAAUAACCUUGAGAACUAGCCUCCUGAUAAUUUGGAGAUUAUUUCUAAACGUCAGUGUUGUGAAGGUAUUAGGUAAUUAGAAUUAGUGAAAGGGUGCUUUCCUAAGUGGGUUUGGGAUCUUCACUCAGAAAGGUUUUGGCAGGAGGGGAAAACCUGAAAAGUACCUCUCUCUUGACUUCUUGUAAAAGCGAAAAAAUUUAAAUAAUAAUAAUAAUAAACCACACAGAUGUACAGUGGAAA